rnacentral:rRNA from 1 species
GCCUAUCAUGCAGUCGAACGGCAGCGGGUCCAGCAAUGGAUGCCGGCGAGCGGCGCACGGGUGCGUAACGCGUAUGCAAUCUACCUUUGACUGGGGGAUAGCCCCGAGAAAUCGGGAUUAAUACCCCAUAAUAUUGAGGAGGGACAUCCCUUUUCAAUUAAAGCUCCGGCGGUCUUAGAUGAGCAUGCGUGACAUUAGCUAGUUGGUGAGGUAACGGCUCACCAAGGCGACGAUGUCUAGGGGUUCUGAGAGGAUUUUCCCCCACACUGGUACUGAGACACGGACCAGACUCCUACGGGAGGCAGCAGUAAGGAAUAUUGGUCAAUGGGCGCAAGCCUGAACCAGCCAUGCCGCGUGAAGGAUGACGGCCCUAUGGGUUGUAAACUUCUUUUGUACGGGAAAAAACCCCCGGUCGUGUACCGGGGCUGAUGGUACCGUAAGAAUGAGCAUCGGCUAACUCCGUGCCAGCAGCCGCGGUAAUACGGAGGAUGCAAGCGUUAUCCGGAUUCAUUGGGUUUAAAGGGUGCGCAGGCGGAAUGAUAAGUCAGUGGUGAAAUCCUACGGCUCAACUGUAGAACUGCCAUUGAUACUGUCGUUCUUGAGUACACUUGAAGUGGGCGGAAUGUGUCAUGUAGCGGUGAAAUGCUUAGAUAUGACACAGAACACCGAUCGCGAAGGCAGCUCACUAAAUUGUAACUGACGCUCAUGCACGAAAGCGUGGGGAUCAAACAGGAUUAGAUACCCUGGUAGUCCACGCUGUAAACGAUGAUCACUCGAUGUUGGCGAUACACUGUCAGCGUC